rnacentral:ncRNA from 1 species
UUAUGGUUUUAAUAUUUUAUUUUAAGUUUAUUUUACAUAUAAAUUUUAGUGUUAAAUUUUAAUUAUUUAAAUAAUAAUUUAUAUUAUAAUGUAGUAAUUAAUAUUAAAUUAUUUAAGAAAUUAAGAUUUAGUAAUAUUUUAAUUAAUAACAAAUUUUGUGCCAGCAGUUGCGGUUAUACAAAAAUUAAAUUAAAUUUUAUUAGUAAUUAAUAAAUAAUUGAAAAAUAAUAAAAAUUUUAAAUUAUUAGGUGAAAUUUUAAUUUAAUAAAAUUUUAUAAUUUAAUUAUGAUUUAAUAAAUUUUAUAAAAAACUAGGAUUAGAUACCCUAUUAUUAAAAUUUAAAAUUAAAAUACUAAAAUAGUAAAUAAUUAUUUAUUGAAACUUAAAUAAUUUGGCGGUAUUUUAGUUCAUUUAGAGGAAUCUGUUUAAUAAUUGAUAAUCCACGAAUAAAUUUACUUAAUUUAUAAUUUUGUAUAUCGUUGUUAAAAAAAUAUUUUUUAAUAAAAUUAAUAUUUAAUAAUUAUUAUAAAAAUUUAAAUCAGAUCAAGAUGCAGAUUAUAAUUAAGAAUAUAAUGGAUUACAAUAAAUUUAUUUAUAUGAAUAUUAAUUUGUAAAAAUUAAUUGAAAGUGGAUUUAAAUGUAAUUUUAUUUAAUUUAAUAAAAUGAUUAUAUAUUAAAAUAUGUACAUAUUGCCCGUCGCUUUCAUAUAAUAAUAAGUUGAAAUAAGUCGUAACAAAGUAGAGGUACUGGAAAGUGUUUCUAGAAAGAA